AAUUAUGUUGUUUGAAACAGCCGUUGUCGUACGAAGACUGGCCGUUUCAAGAAGUGCCGCCGCUGCGACCGAAGGUACCCUGUGCGUCAGCCGUGCUGCAAGCCCCGCCGCUGCCCCAAGCGACGGCGCAGUUGUCGUCGGCGAUCCAGGUCUAGGUGUUGACCAUCUCCGUAGCUGCGAUGCAAAGAAAAGUCAUCUCAUCGUUCGAAAUUUCACCGGUCCUCUGCCUCCCUCCUACAUCGUCAAACGUGGCGUGACCUCCUCUUUCCACAUUCUACUCUGGUGAACAAAAGGCCUGAUCAUAUGCAUGUAUACAUACCGAUGUCGCUCUCGAUCCGGCUCGUUCAAGCGAUGCGGGCGAUGCGACCGACGCUACCGUAUCCGUCGUCGAUAAUGUUCCUUGUGUUAAAAACUAAAACUAAAAACAUUUUGGCAGAUGCAGUCUCUCUCGUUGGUGUUUUGAUAAUAGAUAGAAGUAUUUAUUUGAGAAAUUGUGAAUGUAUAUCCCAAUAUUUAUGGCGAAAUUCAAGAAUAUAUUUUAUGUAAAGGCAA